CCUUCGGGUGUGAGUGGCAGACGGGUGAGUAACGCGUGGGAAUUUACCUCAAGCUUUGGGAUAACACAGAGAAAUUUGUGCUAAUACCGGAUGUGCUGAUAUAAAGGGAUUUAUGUCGGGAAAGAUUUAUCGGUUUGAGAUAAGCCCGCGUUGGAUUAGCUAGUUGGUAGGGUAAUGGCCUACCAAGGCGACGAUCCAUAGCUGGUCUGAGAGGAUGAUCAGCCACACUGGGACUGAGACACGGUCCAGACUCCUACGGGAGGCAGCAGUGGGGAAUAUUGGACAAUGGGCGCAAGCCUGAUCCAGCCAUGCCGCGUGAGUGAUGACGGCCUUAGGGUUGUAAAGCUCUUUCACCGGAGAAGAUAAUGACGGUAUCCGGAGAAGAAGCCCCGGCUAACUUCGUGCCAGCAGCCGCGGUAAUACGAAGGGGGCUAGCGUUGUUCGGAUUUACUGGGCGUAAAGCGCGCGUAGGCGGAUAUUUAAGUCAGGGGUGAAAUCCCGGGGCUCAACCCCGGAACUGCCUUUGAUACUGGAUAUCUUGAGUAUGGAAGAGGUGAGUGGAAUUCCGAGUGUAGAGGUGAAAUUCGUAGAUAUUCGGAGGAACACCAGUGGCGAAGGCGGCUCACUGGUCCAUUACUGACGCUGAGGUGCGAAAGCGUGGGGAGCAAACAGGAUUAGAUACCCUGGUAGUCCACGCUGUAAACGAUGAAUGUCAGCUGUUGGCAGGUUUACCUGUCAGUGGCGCAGUUAACGCAUUAAACAUUCCGCCU
rnacentral:rRNA from 2 species